CACGUAGGGUGCGAGCGUUGUCCGGAAUUAUUGGGCGUAAAGAGCGUGUAGGCGGCCAGGUAGGUCUGGUGUGAAAACUCGAGGCUCAACCCCGAGAGGUCAUCGGAAACCAUCUGGCUAGAGUCCGGAAGAGGAGAGUGGAAUUCCCGGUGUAGCGGUGAAAUGCGCAGAUAUCGGGAAGAACACCUAUGGCGAAGGCAGCUCUCUGGGACGGUACUGACGCUGAGACGCGAAAGCGUGGGGAGCGAACAGG
rnacentral:rRNA from 1 species